CGCGGNGUAGAGCAGUUGGUAGCUCGCCGGGCUCAUAACCCGGAGGCCGCAGGUUCGAGUCCUGCCCCCGCAACCA
rnacentral:tRNA from 1 species